CAUUGAGAGAUGUUGCCCGGAGAUGGACUCUGAGACACGAUAUCGGGCCCUACGGGGCGCAGCAGGCGCGAAAUCUUCACAAUGUGCGAAAGCACGAUGAGGGGAUCCCAAGUGCUGGCACGUAAGUGUCAGCUGUUUCUUUGUCUAAAAAACAAAGAGAGUAAGAGCUGGGUAAGACGAGUGCCAGCCGCCGCGGUAAUACCUGCAGCUCAAGUGGUGGCCGCUAUUAUUGGGCCUAAAACGUCCGUAGCCGGUUUAGUAAAUGCUUGGGUAAAUUGUGUAGCUUAACUAUACGAAUACCGGGUAGACUGCUAAACUUGGGACCGGGAGAGGCUAGAGGUACUCCUAGGGUAGAGGUGAAAUUCUGUAAUCCUAGGGGGACCACCAGUGGCGAAGGCGUCUAGCUAGAACGGGUCUGACGGUGAGGGACGAAGCCCUGGGGCGCAAACCGGAUUAGAUACCCGGGUAGUCCAGGGUGUAAACGCUGCUUGCUUGAUGUUAGUUGGGCUCCGAGCCCAACUAGUGUCGGAGAGAAGUUGUUAAGCAAGCUGCCUGGGAAGUACGGUCGCAAGACUGAAACUUAAAGGAAUUGGCGGGGGAGCACAGCAACGGGUGGAGCGUGCGGUUUAAUUGGAUUCAACGCCGGAAAUCUCACCGGAGGCGACGGUUAUAUGAAGGCCAGGCUGAUGACCUUGCCUGAUUUUCCGAGAAGUGGUGCAUGGCCGUCGUCAGUUCGUACCGUGAGGCGUUCUGUUAAGUCAGACAACGAACGAGACCCUCAUCUUUAGUUGCUACUAGUAAGUCCGCUUAUUAGGCACACUAAAGAAACCGCUGGCGAUAAGUCAGAGGAAGGUGAGGGCAACGGUAGGUCAGUAUGCCCCGAAUCCUCCGGGCUACACGCGCGCUACAAAGGCUAGGACAAUGGGCUUCAACACCGAAAGGUGACGGUAAUCCCGAAACCUAGUCGUAGUUCGGAUUGAGGAUUGAAACUCAUCCUCAUGAAGCUGGAAUCCGUAGUAAUCGCGGGUCAACAUCCCGCGGUGAAUAUGCCCCUGCUCCUUGCACACACCGCCCGUCAAACCAUGCGAGUUGGGUCUGAGUGAGGAUGUAGUUUUUGCUACGUUCAAACUUUGGCUUAGUAAGCGGGGUU
rnacentral:rRNA from 1 species